rnacentral:rRNA from 1 species
CUGGCUCAGGAUGAACGCUAGCUACAGGCUUAACACAUGCAAGUCGAGGGGCAGCAUGAUCAAAGCUUGCUUGGUUGAUGGCGACCGGCGCACGGGUGAGUAACGCGUAUCCAACCUUCCCCUUAGUAGGGCAUAGCCCGUAGAAAUGCGGAUUAAUACCUAUGUUGUUCGUAGAGGACAUCUGAAAUGAACCAAAGGUUUACCGCUAAGGGAUGGGGAUGCGUCUGAUUAGGUAGUCGGCGGGGUAACGGCCCACCGAGCCCUCGAUCAGUAGGGGUUCUGAGAGGAAGGUCCCCCACAUUGGAACUGAGACACGGUCCAAACUCCUACGGGAGGCAGCAGUGAGGAAUAUUGGUCAAUGGGCGCGAGCCUGAACCAGCCAAGUAGCGUGCAGGAUGACGGCCCUAUGGGUUGUAAACUGCUUUUAUACAGGGAUAAAGUUGGGAACGUGUUCCCUUUUGCAGGUACUGUAUGAAUAAGGACCGGCUAAUUCCGUGCCAGCAGCAGC